rnacentral:misc_RNA from 1 species
CAUUUGGUAUCCCAACCAUAACUUCAAGCCCACUCCCCAUUAAACCCUUCAUCACAGCUGGAUCUGCAUCAAAAAGCUUCACUUUCUGAAUCUUGUUUUGUUUAAGAAGAUCCACAACAGUAAAAGGUGACAUUUUGUGCAAAGAUAUAGUGCCCCAAUUAACCCCAAUACCAGAUUCCACCUCAAUAACACCCCAACAUAAGAACAGACCCUUUUUAGUUUUGUAGCUGUAUCAGUGUUAUUGUUCUUAUGUU